GUUGACCUCGGAUCAGGUAGGGAUACCCGCUGAACUUAAGCAUAUCAAUAAGCGGAGGAAAAGAAACCAACAGGGAUUGCCCUAGUAACGGCGAGUGAAGCGGCAAUAGCUCAAAUUUGAAAGCUGGCCUUUGGUCCGCAUUGUAAUUUGUAGAGGAUGCUUUUAGGCAGCCGCCGGUCUAAGUUCCUUGGAACAGGACGUCAUAGAGGGUGAGAAUCCCGUAUGUGACCGGCUCUGGCACCUUCUGUAAAGCUCCUUCGACGAGUCGAGUUGUUUGGGAAUGCAGCUCUAAAUGGGAGGUAAAUUUCUUCUAAAGCUAAAUACCGGCGAGAGACCGAUAGCGCACAAGUAGAGUGAUCGAAAGAUGAAAAGCACUUUGGAAAGAGAGUUAAAAAGCACGUGAAAUUGUUGAAAGGGAAGCGCUUGCAAUCAGACUUGGACUUGGCUGUUCAACCGGUCUUCUGACCGGCCUACUCAGUCUUGUCCAGGCCAGCAUCAGUUUCGGCGGCCGGAUAAAGGCCCUGGGAAUGUAGCUGUCUCUUCGGGGGCAGUGUUAUAGCCCAGGGUGUAAUACGGCCAGCUGGGACUGAGGUCCGCGCUUCGGCUAGGAUGCUGGCGUAAUGGUUGUAAGCGGCCCGUCUUGAAACACGGACCAAGGAGUCUAACAUCUAUGCGAGUGUUAGGGUGUCAAACCCUUACGCGUAAUGAAAGUGAACGGAGGUGGGAACCCGCAAGGGUGCACCAUCGACCGAUCCUGAUGUCUUCGGAUGGAUUUGAGUAAGAGCAUAGCUGUUGGGACCCGAAAGAUGGUGAACUAUGCCUGAAUAGGGUGAAGCCAGAGGAAACUCUGGUGGAGGCUCGCAGCGGUUCUGACGUGCAAAUCGAUCGUCAAAUUUGGGUAUAGGGGCGAAAGACUAAUCGAACCAUCUAGUAGCUGGUUCCUGCC
rnacentral:rRNA from 1 species